UACGGAGGGUGCAAGCGUUAUCCGGAUUCACUGGGUUUAAAGGGUGCGUAGGCGAGCAGGUAAGUCCGUGGUGAAAUCUCUGAGCUUAACUCAGAAACUGCCAUGGAUACUAUCUGUCUUGAAUAUUGUGGAGGUAAGCGGAAUAUGUCAUGUAGCGGUGAAAUGCUUAGAUAUUGGGAAGAACACCAGUGGCGAAGGGCGGCUAUCUGGACGGUUUCUG
rnacentral:rRNA from 1 species